UGAGCCCUUUGCAACUUCGUCGUUCC
rnacentral:piRNA from 2 species